GACCAAGCUCUGUAGUGUUGUAAACUUUGAUAUUUUCAUCAUUUUCUACUGCAGGAAGGAAAAAUACUUGGAUGGUGAUGUAAAAUAGUUUAUUUGAACAUAUUUUGGACUGUUCUGUCUACCCUCAUAAAAUUGCAGGAAAACAUAAAUUGCUUCAACUACAAGUAUUUUGAUCCUUAUCCAAAAUAUUUACUGUAAUCUUAAGGCUUUUGCAACAUUGUCUCUAUUGGAAAUUGCUGUAAAAACAAGAGGAACAGUGUUGUCUGGCUAUGCCUUGUACCGCUGAUCUCUUACCAUGAUCGAGGAUUGUUCUGAUGAGAAAGGAAAUUACUAGAGUCACAGAUGAUGAACUCUAGCUAGUGAGGUUAAUCAAAUUUCAACAGUUCUUCACAGCCCAGUGGAAUCAUCACAGACCCGUUAUAUCUAGCUGAGUCAUGCUGCUUUGUAUUCAUGUUUUGAGCUAUGG